UGUCACAGAGUUUUGGACGCCGAAUGCACCCAAUCUUGUCUGACUUUGGAAGCAAAGCAGGGUUGGGCCUGGUCAGUAUUUGGAUGGGAAAAUCAAAUCCAGUCGUAUGUGAAAA
ensembl:rRNA 5S_rRNA 5S ribosomal RNA